rnacentral:rRNA from 1 species
AUACGUAGGGAGCGAGCGUUGUCCGGAAUUACUGGGUGUAAAGGGAGCGUAGGCGGGACUGCAAGUCAGAUGUGAAAUACCGGGGCUUAACCGCGGAGCUGCAUUUGAAACUGUAAGACUUGAGUACUGGAGAGGCAAGUGGAAUUCCUAGUGUAGCGGUGAAAUGCGUAGAUAUUAGGAGGAACACCGGUGGCGAAGGCGGCUUGCUGGACAGAUACUGACGCUGAGGUGCGAAAGCGUGGGGAGCGAACAGGAUUAGAUACCCUGGUAGUCCACGCUGUAAACGAUGAUUACUAGGUGUAGGGGGUAUCGACUCCCUCUGUGCCGCAGUUAACGCAGUAAGUAAUCCACCUGGGGAGUACGGUCGCAAGAUUAAAACUCAAAUGAAUUGACGGGG